AUGAAAAGCACCGAGAUCCCUUCCGAAUGCACAAGUAGCCAGGAUACACAUGGUCUUGCAUCUAGCAAGGAUGGGUACACUCCAGAAGAUGCAGUUUGCUCAUAUGCAGGAAGAAAUUAUGCUGCUAGUUUUCUGGAUGAAAUGGAGAAUGCUGGAGAUGCAUUAAACAGUAAAGUUACCAUUGCUGUGCCAGCUCAAGCAAAGAUAAUCUUUAGCAAUCCAGGCAAUGCUUCCUCCGAGAAAGAUAUGUGGUUGCCUGCACAGGAAGCAGAAAAGGUUGCUGGUUUGUUUACCUCAAGUUUGCCCAGCUUUACUAAAGUUAUGAAGAGGUUCAACAUCAGUGGCUCAUACACCCUGCAUAUCCCUUACCAAUUUGCCACGGAACACCUUCCCAACUGCAAGGUGAAGAUUUUACUUCAUAAUUUAGAAGGGAAAACUUGGACUGUGAAUUCAAUUCCGACUACAAGAGUACAAACAUCACAUACCUUUUGCGGAGGGUGGUUAUCUUUUGUUCGCGACAAUAACAUUGAUUUGGGAGAUACCUGCAUUUUUGAGCUUGUCCGCAAGUGUGAAUUGCGUGUGCGUGUUCUUAAGGCGGAAAAGGAAGGAAGUGAUUACAGUAGUAAGGUAGUUGAUGAAGGACUAGUUAUUGAUUAUGCAAAAAAUUCUGGAUGUAAGUCCAGGAAAGUGGGAUCGAGUUCUGAUCAAGCGAAGGUUAUGACAUAUGAUAAAAAAGGAUCUA
rnacentral:misc_RNA from 1 species